AUGUAAAAUGGUUUUAAUCGCCCACUGCCUCGCUAAAAGGAACCUAAUGGAUCGCACACCGUAUAAGGAGGAGAUUGAAGAAACAAUGGAGAUGAGUAAGAAUGAUUAAAUGGUUUAAUCAUUUAUUUAUGGCAAGGAUUAAUUAAUAUGUUAAUUAAUCAAACGAAUAAGUUCGUUAAAGACCUCGGGAUAGUUUUGGACCUUAAGGCCCAAUGGGCUUCGAAUGUCAAGCCCAUUAACAUAAGUUGUAUGACAACUUAAUGAAUAAUGAUUCACAAAGGCCUAAUUAGUCCAAAAUAUCCUAAUGGCCGGCCAUAUUGGU
rnacentral:lncRNA from 1 species